rnacentral:rRNA from 1 species
UACGAAGGGGGGCUAGCGUUGCUCGGAAUCACUGGGCGUAAAGCGCACGUAGGCGGCUUUCUAAGUCAGGGGUGAAAUCCUGGAGCUCAACUCCAGAACUGCCUUUGAUACUGGGAAGCUCGAGUCCGGAAGAGGUGAGUGGAACUCCGAGUGUAGAGGUGAAAUUCGUAGAUAUUCGCAAGAACACCAGUGGCGAAGGCGGCUCACUGGCCCGAUACUGACGCUGA